rnacentral:rRNA from 1 species
GACGAACGCUGGCGGCGUGCUUAACACAUGCAAGUCGAACGCUGAAGCUUGGUGCUUGCACUGGGUGGCUGAGUGGCGAACGGGUGAGUAAUACGUGAGUAACCUGCCCUUGACUCUGGGAUAAGCCUGGGAAACUGGGUCUAAUACUGGAUAUGACAUGCCACUGCAUGGUGGUGUGUGGAAAGGGUUUUACUGGUUUUGGAUGGGCUCACGGCCUAUCAGCUUGUUGGUGGGGUAAUGGCCUACCAAGGCGACGACGGGUAGCCGGCCUGAGAGGGUGACCGGCCACACUGGGACUGAGACACGGCCCAGACUCCUACGGGAGGCAGCAGUGGGGAAUAUUGCACAAUGGGCGGAAGCCUGAUGCAGCGACGCCGCGUGAGGGAUGACGGCCUUCGGGUUGUAAACCUCUUUCAGCACGGAAGAAGCGAGAGUGACGGUACGUGCAGAAGAAGCGCCGGCUAACUACGUG